GACGAAGGGGGCUAGCGUUGUUCGGAAUUACUGGGCGUAAAGCGUGUGUAGGUGGUUGUCAUAGUCAGGUGUGAAAGCCUUGAGCUCAACUCAAGAAAUGCACUUGAUACUGGGCAGCUAGAGGACCGGAGAGGAUAGUGGAAUUCCCAGUGUAGUGGUGAAAUACGUAGAGAUUGGGAAGAACACCAGUGGCGAAGGCGGCUAGCUGGACGGUUUCUGACACUAAGACACGAAAGCGUGGGGAGCAAACAGG
rnacentral:rRNA from 1 species